UACAGAGGGUGCAAGCGUUAAUCGGAUUUACUGGGCGUAAAGCGUGCGUAGGCGGUUCGCUAAGUCGGUUGUGAAAUCCCUGGGCUUAACCUGGGAACUGCAGUCGAUACUGGCGGACUAGAGUACGGUAGAGGGUGGCGGAACUCCGGGUGUAGCGGUGAAAUGCGUAGAUAUCGAGAGGAACACCUGCGGCGAAGGCGGGUUGCUGGGCUGAUACUGACGCUGAGGCGCGAAAGCCAGGGGAGCGAACGGG
rnacentral:rRNA from 1 species